rnacentral:rRNA from 1 species
GUAGGGGGCUAGCGUUAUCCGGAAUUACUGGGCGUAAAGGGUGCGUAGGUGGUUUCUUAAGUCAGAGGUGAAAGGCUACGGCUCAACCGUAGUAAGCCUUUGAAACUGGGAAACUUGAGUGCAGGAGAGGAGAGUGGAAUUCCUAGUGUAGCGGUGAAAUGCGUAGAUAUUAGGAGGAACACCAGUUGCGAAGGCGGCUCUCUGGACUGUAACUGACACUGAGGCACGAAAGCGUGGGGAGCAAACAGGAUUAGAUACCCUGGUAGUCCACGCCGUAAACGAUGAGUACUAGCUGUCGGAGGUUACCCCCUUCGGUGGCGCAGCUAACGCAUUAAGUACUCCGCCUGGGAAGUACGCUCGCAAGAGUG